AUUGAACGCUGGCGGAAUGCUUUACACAUGCAAGUCGAACGGCAGCGGGCCUUCGGGUGCCGGCGAGUGGCGAACGGGUGAGUAAUGCAUCGGAACGUGCCAUUGAGUGGGGGAGUAACGUAGCGAAGUUACGCUAAUACCGCAUAUUCUGUGAGCAGGAAAGCAGGGGACCGCAAGGCCUUGCGCUCUUUGAGCGGCCGAUGUCAGAUUAGCUAGUUGGUGAGGUAAAGGCUUACCAAGGCGACGAUCUGUAGCGGGUCUGAGAGGAUGAUCCGCCACACUGGAACUGAGACACGGUCCAGACUCCUACGGGAGGCAGCAGUGGGGGAAUUUUUGGACAAUGGGCGCAAGCCUGAUCCAGCCAUGCCGCGUGAGUGAAGAA
rnacentral:rRNA from 1 species